rnacentral:rRNA from 1 species
UACGUAGGUGGCAAGCGUUGUCCGGAUUUACUGGGCGUAAAGGGCGUGCAGGCGGUCUGCUAAGUCUAGGGUGAAAGCUCCCGGCUCAACUGGGAGAGGUCCUUGGAUACUGGCGGACUUGAGGGAGGUAGAGGAGAGUGGAAUUCCCGGUGUAGUGGUGAUAUGCGUAGAUAUCAGGAGGAACACCGGUGGUGUAGACGGCUCACUGGACCAUAACUGACGCUGAGACACGAAAGCGUGGGUAGCAAACAGG